rnacentral:rRNA from 1 species
UACGUAGGGCGCAAGCGUUGUCCGGAAUUAUUGGGCGUAAAGAGCUCGUAGGUGGCUUGUCACGUCGGGUGUGAAAGCUUGGGGCUUAACUCCAGGUCUGCAUUCGAUACGGGCUGGCUAGAGGUAGGUAGGGGAGAACGGAAUUCCUGGUGUAGCGGUGAAAUGCGCAGAUAUCAGGAAGAACACCCGUGGCGAAGGCGGCUCUCUGGGGACGGUACUGACGCUGAGACGCGAAAGCGUGGGGAGCGAACAGG